rnacentral:rRNA from 1 species
UACGUAGGGGGCUAGCGUUGUCCGGAAUCAUUGGGCGUAAAGCGCGUGUAGGCGGCCCGGUAAGUCCGCUGUGAAAGUCGGGGGCUCAACCCUCGAAAGCCGGUGGAUACUGUCGGGCUUGAGUGCGGAAGAGGCGAGUGGAAUUCCUGGUGUAGCGGUGAAAUGCGCAGAUAUCAGGAAGAACACCCGUGGCGAAGGCGGCUCUCUGGGACGGUACUGACGCUGAGACGCGAAAGCGUGGGGAGCGAACAGG